rnacentral:rRNA from 1 species
GACGAACGCUGGCGGCGUGCUUAACACAUGCAAGUCGAACGGAAAGGCCCUGCGGUUGUGGGGUGCUCGAGUGGCGAACGGGUGAGUAACACGGGAGUAACCUGCCCUUGACUUUGGGAUAACUUCAGGAAACUGGGGCUAAUACCGGGUAGGAGCUCCUGCUGCAUGGUGGGGGUUGGAAAGUUUCGGCGGUUGGGGAUGGACUCGCGGCUUAUCAGCUUGUUGGUGGGGUAGUGGCUUACCAAGGCAUUGACGGGUAGCCGGCCUGAGAGGGUGACCGGACACAUUGGGACUGAGAUACGGCACAGACUCCUACGGGAGGCAGCAGUGCGGAAUAUUGCACAAUGGGCGGAAGCCUGAUGCAGCAACGCCGCGUGCGGGAUGACGGCCUUCGGGUUGUAAACCGCUUUCGCAUGUGACGAAGCGUGAGUGACGGUACUGGGUAAAGAAGCCCCGGCUAACUACGUG